UGGGGAAUCUUGCACAAUGGGGGAAACCCUGAUGCAGCGACGCCGCGUGAGCGAUGAAGGUUUUCGAAUCGUAAAGCUCUGUCCUAUGGGAAGAUAAUGACGGUACCAUAGGAGGAAGCCCCGGCUAACUACGUGCCAGCAGCCGCGGUAAUACGUAGGGCGCAAGCGUUAUCCGGAAUUAUUGGGCGUAAAGAGCUUGUAGGCGGUUCGUCGCGUCUGGUGUGAAAGCCCAUCGCUUAACGGUGGGUUUGCGCCGGGUACGGGCGGGCUAGAGUGCAGUAGGGGAGACUGGAAUUCCCGGUGUAACGGUGGAAUGUGUAGAUAUCGGGAAGAACACCAAUGGCGAAGGCAGGUCUCUGGGCUGUUACUGACGCUGAGAAGCGAAAGCGUGGGGAGCGAACAGG
rnacentral:rRNA from 1 species